GGUAUGCCACCCCUUACCUUAUCUCCCACCGCUCAUUCUGCCGCUCGAGAUUCGUGUUGGGCCUACAUGUGACUCUCCGGUUGCUCCAUUUUCUCCCGGCGCCAACUCGAGAGUAACUCGCCGCUGUCUCGCCCGUGCCUCCGUGUGUCAGUGUCCGUGCCCCAUCCUUCUACCGCUGCUCGCCAUUGGCAUCUGAGUUUCUUCUUCCUCCGUGCCGCACGCUAUUGAGUUGCUGAUUGCAGCUUCUUCUUUCUCGCUGGUUACAGCUUUGUUGCUUAUUCAUCCACGCCGCUCUCCAUUGCCGUGCUGGUUGCAGCUUUAUCUUUCCUGCUGACUAAUUUUGUAGUCCUCGGUGCUGCUCGCCGUUGUCGUGCUUUUGAUUCUUCUUAGAUGCUGUUGUUGUGCUUGGCCUCCAUUACUUCCCAAUGCAUAUUUAGAUCAACAUGGCACUUCGGUUGGACAUGAUGCCAACACUUGGCUGCUGUUGGAACUUGGUCACCGUGGAUGAAGCAGAACUCGCAGGUAGUGAUGCUGAGGAUUUCAGAAGUUGUAGUGCUACUUUGGCUUCCUGGAUUUUCUGAACUAAAGGUGAUUACUGAAACGAGGCCAAGCAAGCUACUGGAGCAGUGGAAAAGCUUCAGAAGAAUGUAGAUGAACUGCGAAUGACGGCCCAAAACAAAAGGAUGAUGAAAUCGUCAGAUUGCAAGCUGAGGUGACUACUGCCAAAUAUGAGAUUUUGAUUCUUGAGGGUGAGCUAAAACAAAUGCGCUCCAUGGUGAAGGCUAACACAUAAUACUGGAUUUCUGUAAUGUUCAUCAAUGUUAAAAGCACUAGUCAAUGAUCAAGUUGAGCUCUUCAACUGAACUGUAACUAGCCAUAGUUAUGUCAAAAAUAAUACAUUUCAGAUGCUAUUCACUGGAGAGAUUUACCACGAUGUUUGAUUUAAUACUAAA